AGCUCCAAUAGCGUAUAUUAAAGUUGUUGCAGUUAAAAAGCUCGUAGUUGGAUCUCGGGCGUGGUGUCCACCGGUCGGCCGCAAGGUUUGUUUUACUGGUGCACCGUGCUCUUCUUGCAGAGACGUCUGUGUGCACUUCGCUGUGUGCGCUUACGCAUUUGCAACGUUUACUUUGAAAAAAUUAGAGUGUUCAAAGCAGGCACGUACGUGGCUUGAAUACAUGAGCAUGGAAUAAUGGAAUAGGACUUUGGUCCUAUUUUGUUGGUUUCUAGGACCGAAGUAAUGAUUAAGAGGGACAAUUGGGGGCAUCCGUAUUUCGUUGUCAGAGGUGAAAUUCUUGGAUUUACGAAAGACGAACAACUGCGAAAGCAUUUGCCAAGAGUGUUUUCAUUAAUCAAGA
rnacentral:rRNA from 1 species